AUUGAACGCUGGCGGCAUGCCUUACACAUGCAAGUCGAACGGUAACAGGUUAAGCUGACGAGUGGCGAACGGGGGAGUAAUAUAUCGGAACGUGCCCAAUCGUGGGGGAUAACGCAGCGAAAGUUGUGCUAAUACCGCAUAAGAUCUACGGAUGAAAGCGGGGGAACGCAAGACCUCGCGCGAGUGGAGCGGCCGAUAUCAGAUUAGCGAGUUGGUGGGGUAAAGGCCCACCAAGGCGACAAUCUGUAGCUGGUCUGAGCGGACGACCAGCCACACUGGGACGAAGACACGGCCCAGACUCCUACGGGAGGCAGCAGUGGGGAAUUUUGGACAAUGGGCGCAAGCCUGAUCCAGCAAUGCCGCGUGCAGGAUGAAGGCCUUCGGGUUGUAAACUGCUUUUGUACGGAGCGAAAAAGCUCUCUCUAAUACAGAGGGCUCAUGACGGUACCGUAAGAAUAAGCACCGGCUAACUACGUGCCAGCAGCCGCCGUAA
rnacentral:rRNA from 1 species